AUUGAACGCUGGCGGCAGGCCUAACACAUGCAAGUCGAGCGGAUGAGGAGAGCUUGCUCUCUGAUUCAGCGGCGGACGGGUGAGUAAUGCCUAGGAAUCUGCCUGGUAGUGGGGGACAACGUUUCGAAAGGAACGCUAAUACCGCAUACGUCCUACGGGAGAAAGCAGGGGACCUUCGGGCCUUGCGCUAUACGAUGAGCCUAGGUCGGAUUAGCUAGUUGGUGAGGUAAUGGCUCACCAAGGCGACGAUCCGUAACUGGUCUGAGAGGAUGAUCAGUCACACUGGAACGGAGACACGGUCCAGACUCCUACGGGAGGCAGCAGUGGGGAAUAUUGGACAAUGGGCGAAAGCCUGAUCCAGCCAUGCCGCGUGUGUGAAGAAGGUCUUCGGAUUGUAAAGCACUUUAAGUUGGGAGGAAGGGCAGUAAGUUAAUACCUUGCUGUUUUGACGUUACCAACAGAAUAGGCACCGGCUAACUUCGUGCCAGCAGCCGCCGUAAGAC
rnacentral:rRNA from 1 species